rnacentral:rRNA from 1 species
GACGAACGCUGGCGGCGUGCUUAACACAUGCAAGUCGAGCGGUAAGGCCCUUUCGGGGGUACACGAGCGGCGAACGGGUGAGUAACACGUGGGUGACCUGCCCUCAGCUCUGGGAUAAGCCUGGGAAACCGGGUCUAAUACCGGAUAUGACUCCAUGACGCAUGUUGUGGGGUGAAAGCCUUGUGCGGCUGAGGAUGGGCCCGCGGCCUAUCAGCUUGUUGGUGGGGUGAUGGCCUACCAAGGCGACGACGGGUAGCCGGCCUGAGAGGGCGACCGGCCACACUGGGACUGAGACACGGCCCAGACUCCUACGGGAGGCAGCAGUGGGGAAUCUGCGCAAUGGGCGAAAGCCUGACGCAGCGACGCCGCGUGAGGGAUGACGGCCUGG